rnacentral:tRNA from 1 species
GGGGAUUUAGCUCAGUAGCAGAGCACUUGCCUAGCAAGCACAAGGCCCUGGGUUCAGUCCCCAGCUCCG